UACGCCUUGACAUUUAAGUUCUAUGCCACAUCUGAGAGGGCCAAUACUAAAAUACAAUGAAAAGUCUAUAUAUGUUUACAAAUCUGGUCAGUGCUUUACUCAGUUUUGAUUGAUUUUACACCUUAACCGACCCAUCAGUCUGGUAAUCUGCAUCUACAAGACCGCAAAGCGCAUUGGAUACCAGUGCAUGUACUAGUACCUUGCGACAGAAAGCGUCAUCGCGUUAAAGCAAGCCUGUUUUCGAAAACCAAAACAGAAGAGUACGGAAGACCAUACAACAAAUUUCACCAAGGUUUUCGAAGACGAAUCUAAUGGACAAAAGAUUAUCCAUAGAUAUACUUAAGACAUACUAUAGUAUGUAAUUCUAUAGUAUGUAAAUUCGGAGAGCCGGGGGUCGGUAGUUGGUCUUAUUAAGAAAACAGAGCAGCUGCGCCAAGAUCACAACAAUUAGAAGACUUGUCGCCCAUGGUGUUAGUAUUCGUCAUCAACGAAAUCAUACCCGAACUGACAGAACUACAAAAAAAAGAGAUAGAAUCAGUUAUAUACGCAGGUGAAUUGACGCUCUAUUGCACAGACGUUUAAGCACAAGCCGCAAUAUAUAGAAUGCAACUUGCCUAGGACGAGAUCUCAGACCUUUAACUGGUGCGUUUUCAUCACCAAUCGUACAUCCGCACUCCAACAAAGUUCAGUCUGGAAGACUUCCACAAACAAACAAUUCGCUCCAUUAUGAAGAAAAACUAAAUAACUUAAAGGCAACAAGAAGAGAAUGCGAAGGAAACAAAAGGUACGGUGCGAAGAGCCUAAAGCCAGGCGGAUAAAACGUGUCAUCACUGGGAAGCUGCCAGUAACACAUUGGGGGAUAAGACCUUAUCCGGAAUAAAGCUCAAACUAGAUAUGUCUGUAUAGCCCUUCCAUCACAAUCUGUACAUAGUUCAGAACGAAUUUUAUGCAUCAUCACCCGUGUAGUGAGAACCCUCGUCAAGAAAAGUGAUAUAAAUAAACCGGACAUUUCUUCUCCAUAUAAAAGAAGGGAAUGCAAAUGAAUGAACGCCAUAUAGUAACAGAAUCACCUGAUAAACCGCAGUGACAAGCCUUGGAAUACAAAUACUGAACAGACGCCCACGUAGUCUUCCUAACAGUCUUUGUCCGUCCUCGAAUAAGCGAUAGACAACAAUCUGCCUGUCAUCACAGCAGCUCUGCCUGUUAAGAUCGAAACUUCCUGAGGACAGCUCACAUCUCUAGACUAGAACAUUAUCAUAAUCCGACCUACAACAGGGUACAUUAGACCAAACCACAGCAAGCGCAACAUAUCCCAUCUUGUGACGAUUUUAACGUGCUCCUGCGGAGAAGCCGAUCAAAGCGCAAAACACAUCCUCCAGGAAUGCAGAGAUCACCAACCAACGAAUUUCCGUAACCUGUAAGUCAGCAUAAACGUCGCCAUCUUGACAAUCACGUGAUUUCCCCUUCCGUAAAGUAAACGUUUAUAGCUUUUGCCAAUGAUAUAAUUGUUUAACGAACAGUGUUUGUUUUGACUCUAAGAACGAUUUUUCAUUUAAAAUGGUCUAAGAAAAAAUGACUAAACUGGUUCUGAAACAUUCUCAGAAGAAAAUAGUUGAAAACAAAUGUUUCUAAGUGAACAAUUGUAUGAAUUAGAAAAUUCUAUUGUUAAUUAUCUAUUUCGUCUGCCAACAUCCUACUACAUCCGGGCAUUUUUACCGCAUUUUAACACUCAACCGACUCUUUGAUUUGUGGUUAUUAAGUCUAUUGGCUAAAGAAAAUGUACAAAAAGAACAUUUUUAUCUUGUUAAAUCUAUGUUACCAGACAACAUCUAGCGUUCAAAUUAAGGCUAUUGCUAUAGUGAAAGUUAAUUUUUUUAUGUGUUAACUUUAUUUUUCGAAAUAUUGUACGAAAUAUUUGUUGAUUUUUAGUGUUUAUGGGCUUUUAAAGCAUUACUAUAUUGUUAUGAAAGCAAAGUAAUUGGUGUAGCAAUUCUUUUUGUAAUGAUUCUUUUACGUGAUUCACAAAACGUGAAAAUGAUCAUUACAUGUGAAUCGCCUUUUCAAAUCGCAUAACUCGCUUGCAUGUCUGAAAAGGCCGAAAUAUCGAAUUACAAAAUAGCUUCGAUCGUUGGCAGACUGCCAGACCUGGUCUGGGUUGUACGGAAUACCGUUAGUGCCAUCGUGGUUACACGGUAAAAUCCAGAGAGCGAUAAUGUAAUAGUGCGAUAGUACGAUGACCACAAUGCGAUAGUACGAUGACGACAGUGCGACAAUACGAUGGCGACAGUGCGAUAGAACGAUGGCGACGAUACGAUAGUACGAUGACGACAGUGCGGCAAUACGAUGGCGACAGUGCGAUAAUAAGAUGACGACAGUACGAUUAUGCGAUAGUACGAUGGCGACAAUGCGAUAAUACGAUGUCGACAGUGCGACAAUACGAAGGCGACAGUGCGACAAUACGAUGGCGACAGUGCGAUAGUACGAUGGCGACGAUGCGAUUGUACGAUGACGACAGUGCGACAAGACGAUGGCGACAGUGCGUUAAUACGAUGACGCCAGUACGAUAACGCGAUAGUACGAUGGCGACAAUGCGAUAAAACAAUGACCACAGUGCGACAAUACGAUGAAGACAGUGCGAUAGUACGAUGGCGACAAUGCGAUAGUGCGAUAAUACGAUGACAACAGUGCGAUAAUACGAUGGCGACAGUGCGAUAGUACGAUGGCGACAAUGCGACUAUGCGAUAGUGCGAUAGUACGAUGGCGACAAUGAGAUAAUACGAUGACGACAAUGCAACAAUACGAUGACGACAGUGCGAUAGUACGAUUGCGACAAUGCGAUAAUACGAUGACGACAGUACGAUAAUGCGAUAGUACGAUGGCGACAAUGCGAUGAUACGAUGGCGACAGUACGAUAUGACUAUCGCAUAGUCGCCAUCGUACAAUCGCACUGUCGCCAUCGUUUUGUCACACUGUUGGAUUGUCGUCAUCGUACUAUCGCGUUGUCGCAUUGUCGCCAUCGUACUUUCGCAUUGUCACCAUCGUACUAUCGCAUUGUCGCCAUCGCACUAUCGAAUUGUUGCCAUUGUACUAUCGAACUAUCGCAUUGGCGCCCUCAGGAUUUUAAUGUGUAACCACUUUGGCCCUAACGGUAUUCCGUAUGGUUGUGCGUUUCAUGUUGUAAAGGUUUAAGAAGACGCAUUAAAUAUUUAAUCUCAUUUGUGUAGUACAUUAAAGGAAUAUUUCGCAGGUAUUCCUUAAUGUGGAAAGUGGGUUUCUAGUAUGGGAAAUUCAAUCAAUAAAUCACCAACCUUUACGUUAGAGCAAAGAGGAAAGUGGCAUUACAAGAUCUACUUUUAUCUAGAAACAGAAGAAGGCAAAAUAUGCGGUCAGGUUGGCGACUGCGGAAUAAUGACAGAGCUCCUAAACAAGGUAGGCGCUAACGAGAAUAUAGAGAAGGUUUGGGCUUAUCAACGGCCUCUGUCUAAGUGGCAAAUGACACAAUUUAUCUUCUUCCACAUGUUUGUUGUCUUCAAGACAAGAACAUGGUGGUGGUCCAUAGAGAAAAAUCGCGAAGGGAUUAAUGUUCAUCGGAGUCACAUUCAGUCUGAUGUGAUAGAUUAUUGCAGAAACGAAACGAGCUCAAGUUCAACAAAAAUCAUCGAAGAAGAUGAUGGUGGAAUGAACGUUCACGAUUUCUUAAACUGGCUUUUGAUAAACCAGGAACUAGAUAAAGAAUAUCAAUACAUGUAUUCAAAUUGUAAGGAUUUUGCGAGAGCAGUAUUUCAUCGUGUUGCGAAAACAAAACAUAUGCUUUAAAAAAUUAACGAAGAACUGCCACUUGACGUGCAGAAUGUGACGUUCUGUGUAAUCCUUUAUAUAGACAAUGUUCAAUCAUGAACUACCGGCCACCUGUAAGGUGGAAUGGGACUGGAAGUGCUCAACAUUUUUUAAGACAAUGUACUUUAAUGAACUGCCACUUCUAACGUUGGAAUAUGAUGGAAAAUUGCUUGAUAACGUCUUAUACAAGCCAGAGACUAUGCACUGCUGACACUCGUAUGGUAGAAUGUCACGGAAAAGUCAGUUAUAAUGCCUUAUUAUUGUUAUAUGUGCAGCAUUCUACAAACGCGUUUUCGCACUUCUUUGUCAUUUUUUGUCUGCAUAUUAAUAUGUAUAUUUGGUUGAGAUCUAUUUAGAAGCGCUCUUGGUUUGUGAUAAAGUCUGGGGUAAGUUUGAGAUUCGCCCGGUCUUUUAACCGGUUUUCUCGCUCAACGUUUUCAACUGACCGAUUUCAAGGCGGUGAUCCCAGUUUUAAUAAGUGUAUAUGUAUAGUUGGUGUUAUGUUAUAAAAGUAGAUUAUACAAAGUAGAACUUAUCUCCUGAAAGAUGUCCUGAAGUUUCGUCGUUUGAUGGAUAUCACAGACCAAGCAUAAUAAAGAACGUCCGCUUGUACGGCGUUAUAUCACUGAAAAUGGAUUAACAACGCCUUAUACAAAAGGUAACCUGCUGAAGUACAGUCACUUGUAUGGCGGAGUGUACCGGAACAAAUGCUUACCAGCGCCUUAAAUAGACUAUACCCUUGAGUUUCACCACUUGUAUUGCCAGAUUUGUCAGCAGAAAGACGAAGUUCGUAUUUAUAUAACUUAUUUUUAUGAAGGUGGUUACAAUACCAAACAUUUGUUCUAUUUCAUGUAAAAAAUAUUUUAUUAAUUAUUCGUUAACGUUUUAGGUCGUAACCUAAUAUGUUUAAAAUGUGUGGAGUAAAAUUAUUGAGGCAUUCUUAUUAGAAUAUAAUCUUAAUGUGAGUCCGUUUGACAAUAAACAUAACACUCGGAAUAUUA